GUGCUCACUUUGGGAGCACAUAUACUAAAAUCUAAAUAAUACAGAGAUUAGCACGGCCCCAGCUCAAGGGUGACACACAAACUCAUGAAGUGUUCCCAGGUCAG
ensembl:snRNA U6 U6 spliceosomal RNA